CUGAAGCGCUGUAGUUGUUUAAGUAAGUUAAAUAACUACAGCCUGCUCUAAUCACUGUAAUAAAAUACUAUGGCCAAUAGUAUUGAAUGCUGCACUGAGGUCUGGCAGGACAUGAGUCCACUGUCAGGGACGAAAGAAGAUCAUUUGUGACCUUCACUAAAAGCCAUCUCUGUACUGUGAUGGGCUCUGAAACCUGACAAAAAGUCUUCAAAUAGGAAAUUCCUCUGUAGAUGACCGAAUCCCCCAGGUAUAGUAUAUUGUAAUGUUUAGUGUGUGUGAGGAAAUGAACCUUUGUAGAUAAAUUUUAUGUAAGCUUUUAAUUUUUAAACAUUUUUCUAAACAGCCUCCACCACUUUGCAGUCUGCCUCCCAACCCACUACUAGCAACCAUCACGAUGCCCCGGCCAGCUACCGGCUCCUUUCGCUGCUCCAGCCCAAUACACCAACCUACACAACUAUGCAACCUCCCCAGCAAAUAGAGUCUGCGUUGAAUGCCUUUGAUAAUGAAAAUGCAGCCUUCCAAAAACUGAUAACUAUGGUGACAGAGCUGACCAGAGAAGUCAGGGACCUCCGUGAGGAGUUCAGAGCCUUCCGUCAAUCCUGCAGCAGUGAACCUGUUGAUGCUGGGAUUUUGCCUCUGGAUUUGCCUUUACAUAAUAUGGAUGAGCUGAACAAUGCAGAGGCAACUCUGCAGUUACCAGAAGCAAAUAAAACAAUGGUGAGACGCUUUUCUUUGAUUGGAGGGACCACACUGGAGGUGCGAGUCCGUCGUAUACUAGCCUAUGCCAUUACAAAUGAGCUGGCUUCUGGACUUAACUGGACUGGGAGAAAAAAUAAGGACCAGACCAAGCAAAAAAGGGCAUUUAAAGAAACAGUGCUCUGCAAGUGCAUCUUUGAUGGCCUGACUCAGCAGGUGGGGGUAAAUGCAGUUUCUGAGUUUGCCUUCACCCAAGCAGUGCAGAAAUGGCUCCGCUAUGCUCCCGAUCGGAUGGGUGGUGCAGGACGCCCGAUAUCCAGCCCCAUCCCGGAGUAAACUAAGAACAAUGACUUGUAACUAAUACAUUUAACAAUAAAUCUUUUUUUAUAAAAUAAAUAGUUUUUUUUAUUGAUACAAAUAUGUCUAUUGUCAUUUUUUUUAAUCACAUAAUGCCCAGUGCUUAAUUUUAUAGGGCUA
ensembl:lncRNA